CAUCUUCCCUGAAACUCUGCACCCGCUUCCCACGCAUCACAAAAACGUCAAUACCCUCCUCCCCUGGCCGCGGGACCCCUUGGCCGCGCCGCCGAACACAAUCGCGAGGCCUCCUUCCACAGUUCCACGGGAGCAUGUCGCUUCGGAUUCAUCUCGCGUAGCCGCCGCGCUCCUCCACGCUCUACUGUUCGCACAGAACACGCUCCGUCCGGAUUGGAGUGAUUAUUUCAUCUACCGUUGGGAGUAUAUGCAAUGACUUCAAGCAAUCAUGGGUGUAUGAGGCAACAAUUUUAUGGAAGGGGAACUCCACAACAACGAGGAGAUAAUAGGGGUUUCUAUCAACCUAGAUAUGCUGAAUCACCGUGCCCUUGGGCUGAAUAUGGAGAAAGUGAUGAUUAUCAGUAUGAGGAGGAUUACAUGGAGUAUGAGGAUUAUGUGGAGUCUGAUGAUCUGGGUGGUUGGCAUGGAGAAAGAGCAAGAUAUGAUUUUUUUAGACCCAAUAAUAGAGGGUAUGGGUCUGUAGGUGACAUUGGACAAGGAAGCUCUCAUCUUGUGGACGGUCGACAAUGGGCAAGACAUUCAUAUUAUCACCCAUCACAAUGUGGCAGCACAAGCUAUAACAUGCAACAUAAAAAUCGAAAAAAUUAUGUACUGCAAGCACAUCAAAGAGAGGGAAGAUGCAAAGGCAAUGCUCCAUGGCCGGUUCACAAACACCAGAAGGAUGGUCCAACUGAGAGGUAAAAAAUGACAUGUAGAAAGGCAGGAAUUCAACAAAUAAGAAGACAAGAGUUUCCUGCAUGUGGAAGAAGUUCAAUAAGUAUUUUUGUAGAAGAUAAUAAGGACAAAAAAUUAGAUGGAUCAACUGUGAUUCCUGAGCCAAAACAUCAGUUAAAUUCUUUACAAAAACUGGAACUGGAGAUAAAAGAAAUGAAGGUCAAAUUGGAAACAAUGAGCAACUCAGAUGGUAAAGAUUCAGUAUCGGAGAAGAAAAUCAAUGAAUUGAGCAAUCAGUUGCAAGAAAAGGUGGAUGAAAUGGAUUUUAUUGAGUCAUCCAAUCAAAUUCUGGUUAUCAAGGAACGCAGAAGCAAUGAUGAGCUGCAAGAGAUACGGACAGAACUAAUAAAUGGUCUGCUUGAGCAUGGUUGUGCCCGAGCACAUAUAGGCAUCAAGAGGAUGGGUGAGCUUGAUCCAAAAGCAUUUUCAAAUGCUUGCAAGCCAAUAUUGCCUGAGGACAAUGCCGAAGUUAAUGCUGCUAUUCUUUGUUCAAAGUGGGAAGCUGAAAUAAAAAAAAACAGAAUGGCAUCCUUAUGAUGUUGUCACGGUUGGAGGAAAAGAUAUGGAGGUAAUCAAGGAAGAUGAUCCGAAACUUAAAGAACUAAAAGAGGAGCUCGGUGGAGAAAUCUAUGCCCUGGUGACAACAGCUCUGCUUGAAAUCAAUGAGUAUAAUUAAUCCUAGCGGCAGAUCCUGUAGCUGAGAUGUGGAAUUUCAAGGAAGGGCGGAAAGCAACACUGAAGGAGGUUGUCCAGUUCGUCCUGAAACAGUGGAGGACACACAAGAGGAAACGUUGAUGUCCGCUGCUUGAUCGUUAGCUGCAAUUAGCUGCUUGGGAAUUGGUACGCUCAUCUUUGAUAGCAUAGGUGUAUUUUUUGGGAGUGAGGUAAUGCAUGAAUGAACUAUGCUAAUUGCAUGAAUCAUGUCUGAGUCGAGGCAGCUUUUGUGCAUGUAUGGAGUAUGGUUGCCCAUCAUGAACUGUUGAACAGGCGGCAGUGGCCAGUAGAUUAAGCUAGUAGUUCAAGCUGUAUGGGCAUUGACAAACUUUUGGGAUAGUUCUCGGACCUCAUGCCAAAAUGUUCUCUCUUUUAAGUACUUAAGUGGAUUAUCCAAAGGCAAACCCUUUUAACUA